GACGAACGCUGGCGGCGUGCUUAAUACAUGCAAGUCGAGCGGACGGACGAGAAGUUUUCUCCUCUGCUGGUUGCGGCGCACGGGUGUGUGACACAUGGAAAUCAUCCCUAUAAUACUGGGGGAACUCCGGGAAAAAGGGUCUAAUACCGGAUAAUAUCUUGAACCGCAUGGUUCAAGGGUGAAAGACGGUCUUGCUGUCACUUAUAGAUGGAUCCGCGCCGCAUUAGCUGGUUGGUGGGGGAACGCCUUACCAAGGCGACGAUGCAUAGCCGACCUGAGAGGGGGGUCGGCCACCACAGAAGUGCGACGCGGUCCCGACGCCUACGGGAGGCAGCAGUAGGGAAUCUUACGGAAUGGGCGAAAGCCGGCUGGAGCAACGCCGCGUGAGGGAUGAAGGUCUUCGGAUCGUAAUAAUCCGUUAUCAGGGGAGAAGAUAUGUGUAAGUUACUGUGCACAUCUUGACGGUACCUAAUCAGAAAGCCACGGCUAACUACGUG
rnacentral:rRNA from 1 species